AGAGUUUGAUUCUGGCUCAGAACGAACGCUGGCGGCGUGGAUAAGACAUGCAAGUCGAACGAGAGAAUUGCUAGCUUGCUAAUAAUUCUCUAGUGGCGCACGGGUGAGUAACACGUGAGUAACCUGCCCCCGAGAGCGGGAUAGCCCUGGGAAACUGGGAUUAAUACCGCAUAGUAUCGAAAGAUUAAAGCAGCAAUGCGCUUGGGGAUGGGCUCGCGGCCUAUUAGUUAGUUGGUGAGGUAACGGCUCACCAAGGCGAUGACGGGUAGCCGGUCUGAGAGGAUGUCCGGCCACACUGGAACUGAGACACGGUCCAGACACCUACGGGUGGCAGCAGUCGAGAAUCAUUCACAAUGGGGGAAACCCUGAUGGUGUGACGCCGCGUGGGGGAAUGAAGGUCUUCGGAUUGUAAACCCCUGUCAUGUGGGAGCAAAUUAAAAAGAUAGUACCACAAGAGGAAGAGACGGCUAACUCUGUGCCAGCAGCCGCGGUAAUACAGAGGUCUCAAGCGUUGUUCGGAAUCACUGGGCGUAAAGCGUGCGUAGGCUGUUUCGUAAGUCGUGUGUGAAAGGCGCGGGCUCAACCCGCGGACGGCACAUGAUACUGCGAGACUAGAGUAAUGGAGGGGGAACCGGAAUUCUCGGUGUAGCAGUGAAAUGCGUAGAUAUCGAGAGGAACACUCGUGGCGAAGGCGGGUUCCUGGACAUUAACUGACGCUGAGGCACGAAGGCCAGGGGAGCGAAAGGGAUUAGAUACCCCUGUAGUCCUGGCAGUAAACGGUGCACGCUUGGUGUGCGGGGAAUCGACCCCCUGCGUGCCGGAGCUAACGCGUUAAGCGUGCCGCCUGGGGAGUACGGUCGCAAGAUUAAAACUCAAAGAAAUUGACGGGGACCCGCACAAGCGGUGGAGUAUGUGGCUUAAUUCGAUGCAACGCGAAGAACCUUACCUGGGCUUGACAUGUAAU
rnacentral:rRNA from 1 species